AAAAAUCAAGGGGGCAUGGGAUUCCGGGAUAUUCAUUGUUUCAACCAAGCAAUGCUGGCAAAACAAGUGUGGUGUAUUAUUGAGAAUCCAGAUUCCUUAUGUGCGACCGUGUUGAGAGCUAAAUAUUCCCCCAACGGUGAUUUAUUGAAUAUAAAACUAAAAAAGGGCUCAUCUUUUACUUGGCAAAAUAUUAUGGCGGGGGUUAAUUGUCUAAAUCUUGGUUAUAUUUGGCUUGUUGGAAAUGGUCACAACAUUGAUAUUUGGGAAGAUGCUGGAUCCCUAAUUGUGCAAAUAGAAAAGUAA
rnacentral:rRNA from 1 species